rnacentral:rRNA from 1 species
UACAGAGGUGGCAAGCGUUGUUCGGAAUUACUGGGCGUAAAGGGCGCGUAGGCGGCCUUGUAAGUCUUGUGUGAAAUCCCUCGGCUCAACUGAGGAACUGCACGGGAUACUGCGAGGCUUGAGUUCGGGAGAGGGAAGCGGAAUUCCGGGUGUAGCGGUGAAAUGCGUAGAUAUCCGGAGGAACACCGGUGGCGAAGGCGGCUUCCUGGACCGAUUACUGACGCUGAGGCGCGAAAGCUAGGGGAGCAAACGGG